GACGAACGCUGGCGGCGUGCCUAAUACAUGCAAGUCGAACGCUGAAGAGAGGAGCUUGCUCUUCUUGGAUGAGUUGCGAACGGGUGAGUAACGCGUAGGUAACCUGCCUUGUAGCGGGGGAUAACUAUUGGAAACGAUAGCUAAUACCGCAUAACAAUGGAUGACACAUGUCAUUUAUUUGAAAGGGGCAAUUGCUCCACUACAAGAUGGACCUGCGUUGUAUUAGCUAGUAGGUGAGGUAAUGGCUCACCUAGGCGACGAUACAUAGCCGACCUGAGAGGGUGAUCGGCCACACUGGGACUGAGACACGGCCCAGACUCCUACGGGAGGCAGCAGUAGGGAAUCUUCGGCAAUGGGGGCAACCCUGACCGAGCAACGCCGCGGGAGUGAAGAAGGUUGUCGGAUCGUAAAGCUCUGUUGUAAGUCAAGAACGGGUGUGAGAGUGGAAAGUUCACACUGUGACGGUAGCUUACCAGAAAGGGACGGCUAACUACGUG
rnacentral:rRNA from 1 species